rnacentral:lncRNA from 1 species
CAGUUCUUUUAAAAAUGGAGGUGAAAUUUACAUAACAUCAAAUUAAACAUUUUAAAAUGUACAAUUCAGUGUUAUUUAGUACAUUCACAAUGUUUAUCUGUAGUUUACCCCAGCUAAUUUUGUAUUUUUAGUAGAGACGUGGUUUCUCCAUGUUUGAGUUAUUCUGUGAGAGCUCUGCUCCCCUCUGGAACCAGGAAAUGGAAUUUGCCUUAUAACUUAAAAUCCCAGCUAUACUUGGGCUGUCACUCAUUUGAGGGGACCUGGUGGGACCUGACUGAUGUGGGGCAAGGCAGUCCAGAGAAAUCAGCCUGCCCUGUGGGACUUGUCACAAAAUCCCUAAAAGUGAGUCCCUGGGACCCAGUGUUCCCCACAGGCCCUGCUGGUGUCAAGCAGUUUUGCUCAGGCAGUCCUCAGCAGUUUCCUGGGUUCUGUCCAUUCAUGUACAGAAGAAGACUCAGGCCUGCCCCCAGGGUUCACUGACACCAUAGGGUCCAUCAGAAGACAAUGCAACAGCCAGGUGCGGUGGCUCAUGCCUGUAAUUCCAGCACUUUCAGAGGCCGAGGCAAGUGGAUCACCUGAGGUCAGGAGUUCGAGACCAGCCUGGCCAACAUGGUGAAAACCCAUCUCUACUGAAAAUACAAAAAUUAGCUGGGCAUGGUGGUGGGCGCCUGUAAUCCCAGCUACUUGGGAGGCUGAAGCAGGAGAAUUGCUUGAAUCCAGGAGGUGGAGGUUGCAGUGAGCUGAGAUUGUGCCACUGUAUUACAGUCUGGGUGACAAGAGUGAAACUCCGUCUUGAAAAAAAAAAAAAAAAGGCAACAUAAGAUGCUGGCAAACAGAAUAUGUCAAGAUGCCUAAACGUAACCUUGACAUCUCAACAGGCCUGGUGUGAAGACAAUGGCCUAGGGUCGUGCAGAGGCAUGGGCUCCAUAUGGGUCCUUUUAGACUUUGUGGAGCCACCCAGGAAGCUUCCAGAAAUUUUGUUUUCUGAGUCCUCAUUGAAAGAGUAUUUCCUCCUCCUUGUCUUCCCCUCAAAAUAGCACCCACCAACCAUUCCUAUCAUCCUUGUCCUCUCAGAAGAGUGGGGAACCAAACGGGAAAGGGGGCUCCUGCCAGUGCACACAGACCCUGGGCAUGGUGUACAUACAAAGCUCUCCUCCCACCACACCCUACCUCGAAGGCCAUGAUGGCCAGGCCCAGGGCAGAUGGGAGUCAGUGCUCCUGCCCCUAAGCCCUUACUCUCCCCGGCACCCAUGUGCCUCUCACUUCCAGAAAUGCCUUCUCUUUUGUCUCCUUUGUUCUAUCCAUCUUUUAAGGCCUAUUUAAAAGCCCACCUCCUCUAGGAAGCCUGCCCCGAUUCUUAGCCCACAGUGGCCUCUCACCUCAGAACUCCCACAGUAUUUGCUAUUCGGAGCUCUCGAAAGCUCCUGAUGCAUUGCUGGGUUCCGUACUCUUUCCCCUCUGCUAGUUUGACCUGUGCGUGACUGCAGCUCAAGGCCUGAGCUUCAUUUGUUCUUUCCCAUGGUACUUGGCAUGCCGGGCACACUGUAAGCGUUCAAUAAGUCUUUGCAAAUAAACCGAUGAAGGAAGAAACGAAUAAAGCAUAUUUGAAGAAGCUCUGAGAAGUUAUUCCUAAUGAAGGAGACAGCCCCAAACCAGGUCAGGUGAAAGUCAGCCCAUCCCAGUCUGGCUUCCAGGAAGACCUUGGACACCCUCUGCCUGGGGGAGGAGCUGCUGGCCUUGGAGGGGCAGGAGAGAGAGAGAGGGAGGCGCAGUGACCAGACUGGAUGCGGAUGUAGUAGGUGCAGGGGUCACUUGGGGGGGUUGAGGGGAGACCUUGUCCUUGACCUCCCCUCAUUAUAUUUUUGUUUAUUUUUCUGUUUUUGCCCAAUUACCUCAGACAAUGCCCCAUACUGGCUAAGAAAUGUGAAAACAGCUGAAGAAGAAAUAAAGCAAAAGAGAAAAACAAGGAAAAAAGGGUAAACAAAGAGAGAAUUCACCUUUCACUCGCCUGCAAAGUCCUCGGUUGGAGAAUGAAGUUAAGACACAAAAGCUUAGCAACAACAACAUUGUGGGGGAAGGCACGAGAGGGAAGCCGAACAGCCAUUAAAGCAAUUAAGAAAAGAUUAAGGUCGCUGGUGGUGGAGAGAGAGAGAGACCCAUUAAUCAAUAGGCCAGAAAUCGCAGCAGGCUACAAAAUUAUAAAACUAGGCAAACUGGAGAACCACAGAGGCUCACCUCAACCAAGAUGCCUGAGUAACUCAAAAACAGAAACAUUAUAUUCAUUUCUCAAGCUUGGGGAAAAAAAAACAGGUCUUAGAAGAACUCUUUCCUUUUAAUCAGCUAAUGGAGACUUCCUGAGGUGGGGGUGAGAUCCAUGUUGAUUUCAAGGCAAAUUCUAAAGCAUCAAGGUCUAAAGAAAAAUUUGUAAUAAUGAGUGAUAAACAAUGUUAGUGGGCUGAGGGGAUAUCAUAGCAGAAAGCUGUGCGGUAAUCUUAGGCAGGGUCCUAAAAUGCCCUAGGGUAGGUUACAUUAUUGUUCACAAAUAUUUGCUGCCCCUGCCUGGGGAAGACAUACAUCCCAGCCCCACUGACAGCCCGCUUGGCUCUCUGACUUGCUUUGGCCAAUGCAGUACGUGUCCCUUCCAGGCGGAAGCUUUAAGAGCCAGGGGCACAUGGUUUGCC